rnacentral:misc_RNA from 1 species
GGACACGUUCAUCUAGAUGUAGGCGUCUCACUGAACCCAUUUACUCUGUACAAGCAGAAGUGGGCUAUAACAUGUCCCACACACUACAGAAGUGGUCGGAUCUCGGAUUUCUGAGUCACUGGGUCAUCCUAGGAACCUACAUAUUCCACCUGAUGGUUUAGACAUUGGACGAGAAUUCACACUGUUAAAGAUCUGUAUUAACAUCAGAAGGUAGCCAUAAUGUAAGACAAUCGGACCUGACUGCCAGUGUGUGGAAGUCCAGUAGAAAUAUCAGUAUAACUUUACCAUUAUAUAUCAUAUCCCUUAAGAGAUGCCAAAUUGUAUGUGAUUUAUACAAUGUAACAAAGUAGUCAAUUAGGUGAUGGAUUUCUGCAAACAAAUGGUCCAAGAUCUACCAUUAUUUCAUACAAACAUGAGACCAAGAUCUGCCAUUAUUUUACGAAAACAUCGGAGAAUAUUUAUUCAUAUGCUGUCUACUUAAAAAUGUGAUAGAGCAUCAAAUGCUCAUUGAUUUUAAGACACUAACAUUGUACAUCGAUCGUCAAUUUAUUUCAUCUAGCAAGAUUUGUUUUUGCAUUUAAAUGUAUGUAGUAUUAUGUUAAACAUUGCUCAUUGAGCAAAGUAGAAUCUCUCUAUAUAUCAGUUAUCUGUGAUCAGCGAAGGAUAUUCAAUUUGUUUUGUAUUUAUAUGCAUGUUGUUGUUAACAAGGUUUAUAUAUUAAAUUAAAAUGGUCACAGUCAAGCAUAAUAAAUUGGAAUACUACUUUGAAACACAGCACUUGUUAGGAAACACCAUUAUUUUUCUAUUUUUGAUUUUAAGAAAAAUUUAAAUGCAUGUACACGUUUAACUGGUACCUUCAUUUUAAAAUCAUGAUCCAGCUGUCACCUUUAUGACCAUUGAAAUCCAUAUCAAUGCAUUUUGCCAUGACAAUAAACCUGGUUAGGUUGUGUUAAAGAAGAUACAUGUAUAAGUGAAUCUCUUGCGCAAUAAUUUGAACAUGAUUAUCCCACACAUUUCUGUCAUUGAUCGUACCAUAUUGCACAUUUUAACAUUGCCAAAAAAACAUCAAACAGCUUAUAUAUAUAAUAAGUGCCUUAAAUUGUUGGAUGUCUGAAAUAUAUGAGCUUCGCAAUACCGGGGUACAUUUAUUUUGCUUUGCCACUGUUACCACUUGUAGCUAUGCUUUCGUUGUAUGACUUUUGAUGCUAUGUUUAUAUUGUUACAGGGGAUUACCUGUGCAGCAUACUGUCUAACCGCUGGUAGUAAUUCUCCAGCCUAGCACAGCCUAUUUACUGUACACGUAAACUGUAAAACAACUAUUAUUUGCGAAAACUUUAUUUCGCGAUUUACCCAAGAUGAACUGGUUGGCAGCGACUAAUUUUCGCGCCCCAUUAAGUCUUAUCCGCACCUGUUAUUUUUAUGACAAGAAUAAGGCAAAUACUGGUCCACAGCAAGAAAUAUUCGCAACAAUGAGGCUCUCGAGAAAAUUUCUCACAGGCGAAUAACAGUUGGUUUACAGCGCAGGUAACAGUACCUGGUUCUGGCUCCUAGUCACAUGCUUCUUCUUAUCAUAGUCAACUGACUGUGACCGUUUGAUCUUACUAUACUUGUCAAUAUACUAUUGCACCGAAUCCAUUUAUAUCUCCUUUUACUUGACCUUUAUGAGAAUAAAAGAAUAUGAUGAUAUUAAUAAAAAGAACUAUUUAAAAGGGCAUUUACCGGUAAAUUUUUAAAAAAAAAUUACGAUAUUUAAAAUUUUCAAAGGCUAUUAGAUCUUGUAAUAUAUUUUAAGUACAUGUACGGCAUUAAAUGUAUAUGUAUUCAAAAUCUUAGUCCAUCGAUAUUAAAACUUUUACAAAUGAUUAUAUGUGUUGUUUACACUAAUCAUGUGUUAUACUUAGAGGGGUGUGUGUGGGUACAUGUAAAUGGGUACGUGUGGAUACAUGUGAAGUGGUAUCUAUUGGUACACAUGUAUGGCUAGUUUUGGUGCUCAAUCUUGUUUGCAUUCUGUCUGGGUUUUUUUUUGUUGCUACAGAUUUGUUGUUUUAUUAUACAGAAGUUAUUUUGCUUAUACAUAAAAUUAUGUAUUACAUGUUUGUGUCCAAGGUCACCUUGUAUUUAGUAUGGUAGCUUUUAUGUGAAUUUUUGAACCAAGUUCAAAAGUAUUAGCUGAUUUUUUAUUUGUUUCAUUGGAUCUUUGAAUCUCAAAUAAUUGUAAAUUUCAAAUAAAUUAGUUUCAACUGU